ACAGAGGUCCCAAGCGUUGUUCGGAUUCACUGGGCGUAAAGGGUGCGUAGGUGGUCGGGUAAGUCUGAUGUGAAAUCUCCAAGCUCAACUUGGAAACUGCAUCGGAUACUAUUCGGCUUGAGGGUUGGAGGGGGGACUGGAAUGCUUGGUGUAGCAGUGAAAUGCGUAGAUAUCAAGCGGAACACCAGUGGCGAAGGCGAAUCCCUGGACAACUCCUGACACUGAGGCACGAAAGCUAGGGGAGCAAACAGGA
rnacentral:rRNA from 1 species